GACGAACGCUGGCGGCGUGCCUAAUACAUGCAAGUAGAACGCUGAAGGCGGAGCUUGCUUCUGUGGAUGAGUUGCGAACGGGUGAGUAACGCGUAGGUAACCUGCCUGGUAGCGGGGGAUAACCUUUGGAAACGAUAGCUAAUACCGCAUAAGAGUAGAUGUUGCAUGACAGUGACUGAAAAGGUGCAAUUGCAUCAGUACCAGAUGGACCUGCGCUGGAUUGGGAAGGUGGUGAGGUAACGGCUCACCAAGGCAAGGAUACAUAGCCGACCUGAGAGGGGGAGCGGCCGCCCUGGGACGGUGACCGGCCACAGACGCCUACGGGAGGCAGCAGUAGGGCAUCGUGGGCAAUGGGCGGAAGACUGAGCGAGCAACGCCGCGUGCGGGAAGAAGGUCUUCGGAUCGGAAAGCUCGGUUUUCAGAGAGGAACGCGUGUUAGAGUGUAAAGUUCACACUGUGACGGUAACGUACCAGAAAGGGACGGCUAACUACGUG
rnacentral:rRNA from 1 species